AGUGAACGCUGGCGGUAGGCCUAACACACGCAAGUCGAACGGCAGCACAGUAAGAGCUUGCUCUUACGGGUGGCGAGUGGCGGACGGGUGAGGAAUACAUCGGAAUCUACUUUUUCGUGGGGGAUAACGUAGGGAAACUUACGCUAAUACCGCAUACGACCUACGGGUGAAAGCAGGGGAUCUUCGCACCUUGCGCGAUUGAAUGAGCCGAUGUCGGAUUAGCUAGUUGGCGGGGUAAAGGCCCACCAAGGCGCCGAUCCGUAGCUGGUCUGAGAGGAUGAUCAGCCACACUGGAACUGAGACACGGUCCAGACUCCUACGGGAGGCAGCAGUGUGGAAUAUUGGACAAUGGUCGCAAGCCUGAUCCAGCCAUACCGCGUGGGUGAAGAAGGCCUUCGGGUUGUAAAGCCCUUUUGUUGGGAAAGAAAAGCAGCAGGUUAAUACCCCGCUGUUCUGACGGUACCCAAAGAAUAAGCACCGGCUAACUUCGUG
rnacentral:rRNA from 1 species